UACGUAGGGUGCAAGCGUUGUCCGGAAUUAUUGGGCGUAAAGAGCUCGUAGGCGGUUUGUCACGUCGGUUGUGAAAAUCCGAGGCUCAACCUCGGACCUGCAAUCGAUACGGGCAGGCUAGAGUUCGGUAGGGGAGACUGGAAUUCCCGGUGUAGCGGUGAAAUGCGCAGAUAUCAGGAGGAACACCGGUGGCGAAGGCGGGUCUCUGGGCCGAUACUGACGCUGAGGAGCGAAAGCGUGGGGAGCGAACAGG
rnacentral:rRNA from 1 species